rnacentral:rRNA from 1 species
CUGGCUCAGGAUGAACGCUAGCUACAGGCUUAACACAUGCAAGUCGAGGGGCAGCAUGACGAUAGCUUGCUAUGUUGAUGGCGACCGGCGCACGGGUGAGUAACGCGUAUCCAACCUUCCCUAUAGUAGAGGAUAGCCCGGCGAAAGUCGGAUUAAUACUCUAUGUUUUCCAAUGCAGACAUCUAAAAUGGAACAAAGGUUUACCGCUAUAGGAUGGGGAUGCGUCUGAUUAGGUUGUUGGCGGGGUAACGGCCCACCAAGCCUACGAUCAGUAGGGGUUCUGAGAGGAAGGUCCCCCACAUUGGAACUGAGACACGGUCCAAACUCCUACGGGAGGCAGCAGUGAGGAAUAUUGGUCAAUGGGCGAGAGCCUGAACCAGCCAAGUAGCCGUGCAGGAUGACGGCCCUAUGGGUUGUAAACUGCUUUUAUAUAGGGAUAAAGUGACCCACGUGUGGGUUUUUGUAGGUACUAUAUGAAUAAGGACCGGCUAAUUCCGUGCCAGCAGCCGC